rnacentral:rRNA from 1 species
AACGAACGCUGGCGGCAGGCUUAACACAUGCAAGUCGAGCGCCCCGCAAGGGGAGCGGCAGACGGGUGAGUAACGCGUGGGAACGUACCCUUUGCUACGGAAUAGCUCCGGGAAACUGGAAUUAAUACCGUAUGUGCCCUACGGGGGAAGGAUUUAUCGGCAAAGGAUCGGCCCACGUUGGAUUAGCUAGUUGGUGGGGUAAUGGCCUACCAAGGCGACGAUCCAUAACGGGUCUGAGAGGAUGAUCAGCCACAUUGGGACUGAGACACGGCCCAAACUCCUACGGGAGGCAGCAUUGGGGAAUAUUGGACAAUGGGCGCAAGCCUUAUCCAGCCAUGCCGCGUGAGUGAUGAAGGCCUUAGGGUUGUAAAGCUCUUUCACCGGAGAAGAUAAUGACGGUAUCCGGAGAAGAAGCCCCGGCUAACUUCGUGCCAGCAGCCGCCGUAAUA